ensembl:snRNA U6 U6 spliceosomal RNA
GUGCUCGCUUUGGCAGCACAUAUACUAAAACUGGAACGAUACAGAGAAGAUCAGCAUGGCCCCUGCACAAGGAUGACACGCAAAUUCGUGAAGCAUUCCAUAUUUAA